rnacentral:rRNA from 1 species
UACGUAGGGUGCAAGCGUUGUCCGGAAUUAUUGGGCGUAAAGAGCUCGUAGGCGGCUUGUUGCGUCGGCUGUGAAAUCCCGAGGCUCAACCUCGGGUCUGCAGUCGAUACGAGCAAACUAGAGUGUUGCAGGGGAGACUGGAAUUCCUGGUGUAGCGGUGAAAUGCGCAGAUAUCAGGAGGAACACCGGUGGCGAAGGCGGGUCUCUGGGCCGAUACUGACGCUGAGGAGCGAAAGCGUGGGGAGCAAACAGG